rnacentral:rRNA from 1 species
UGCUCAGAAUGAACGCUGGCGGCAGGCCUAACACAUGCAAGUCGAACGGGACCUUCGGGUCUAGUGGCGGACGGGUGAGUAACGCGUGGGAACAUGCCCAAAGGUACGGGAUAGCCUCGGGAAACUGGGUGUAAUACCGUAUGUGCCCUUCGGGGGAAAGAUUUAUCGCCUUUGGAUUGGCCCGCGUUGGAUUAGGUAGUUGGUGGGGUAAUGGCCUACCAAGCCGACGAUCCAUAGCUGGUUUGAGAGGAUGAUCAGCCACACUGGGACUGAGACACGGCCCAGACUCCUACGGGAGGCAGCAGUGGGGAAUCUUAGACAAUGGGGGAAACCCUGAUCUAGCCAUGCCGCGUGAUCGAUGAAGGCCUUAGGGUUGUAAAGAUCUUUCAGUGGGGAAGAUAAUGACGGUCCCACA